rnacentral:rRNA from 1 species
GCUCAUUCCACGAGUUCCGUGCCGCAGCAAACGCAUUAAGUGCCCCGCCUGGGGAGUACGGCCGCAAGGCUAAAACUCAAAGGAAUUGACGGGGGCCCGCACAAGCGGCGGAGCAUGCGGAUUAAUUCGAUGCAACGCGAAGAACCUUACCAAGGCUUGACAUACACCGGAAACUUCCAGAGAUGGUUGCCCCGCAAGGUCGGUGUACAGGUGGUGCAUGGUUGUCGUCAGCUCGUGUCGUGAGAUGUUGGGUUAAGUCCCGCAACGAGCGCAACCCUCGUCUUAUGUUGCCAGCACGUUAUGGUGGGGACUCAUAAGAGACUGCCGGGGUCAACUCGGAGGAAGGUGGGGAUGACGUCAAAUCAUCAUGCCCCUUAUGUCUUGGGCUUCACGCAUGCUACAAUGGCCGGUACAAAGGGCUGCGAUACCGCGAGGUGGAGCGAAUCCCAAAAAGCCGGUCUCAGUUCGGAUUGGGGUCUGCAACUCGACCCCAUGAAGUCGGAGUCGCUAGUAAUCGCAGAUCAGCAACGCUGCGGUGAAUACGUUCCCGGGCCUUGUACACACCGCCCGUCAAGUCACGAAAGUCGGUAACACCCGAAGCCGGUGGCCCAACCCUUGUGGAGGGAGCUGUCGAA